rnacentral:lncRNA from 1 species
UUCUCUUCUCAUGCACGAGUAGGUUGGCAAAGUGUUUUUUGCUGUUGUUUGGUACUGGGGUCUCACGCUUGCUAAGCACAUUAUUAUUCAGUCAUAGCGUCAGCUUCUUCUUUUUUUUUUUAAAUAAAAAGAUUUAUUUAAUGUAUAUGAGUACACUGUAGCUGUCUUCUUUUAGAAAGUUAUUAUCAUAAUAUAGAGAUUGGAGACGUGGCUCAGCAAGUUAGUGUGCGACCUGCUCAAGUAUGAGGAUCUGAGUUUGGAUUCUCCAGGAUCCAUUUAAAAAGCCAGGUAAACCAGGAUGCACUCCUGUAACGCCAUUGCUGUAGGGGAACAGAGACAGAGAGGAUCAUGGGACUUGUUGAUUGCCAGCCUAGUUCUAAAGUCAGUGAGAGAUCUGGUUUUCAAGAGAAUUGGGCAGACGGUGCUAGAACAGGACAGCUGACACCUUCCUGUGUCCUCUGCACCCAUGCAUGUGUCCUCCUCCAUACACGUGUGCCUAUGCCUUACUCGCAUACACCACCACAGUUGCAGAGCCUGGUCUGCUGUCCUGUAUGAUUCCCUCACUGUCAGGUUCAUGCUGGCUCCAUCACCAAUGGCUCUAUUUUCAGUCUACCUCUUCCUUCUUG